rnacentral:tRNA from 1 species
GGAGAGAUGGCUGAGUGGCCGAAAGCGGCGGCUUGCUAAGCCGUUGUAGUACUAUAAGUGCUACCUUGGGUUCGAAUCCCAAUCUCUCCG